rnacentral:rRNA from 1 species
GCAGUGGGAGCACCCUUUGGGUGUGACUGCGUACCUUUUGUAUAAUGGGUCAGCGACUUAUAUUCUGUAGCAAGGUUAACCGAAUAGGGGAGCCGGAGGGAAACCGAGUCUUAACCGGGCGUUAAGUUGCAGGGUAUAGACCCGAAACCCGGUGAUCUAGCCAUGGGCAGGUUGAAGGUUGGGUAACACUAACUGGAGGACCGAACCGACUAAUGUUGAAAAAUUAGCGGAUGACCUGUGGCUGGGGGUGAAAGGCCAAUCAAACCGGGAGAUAGCUGGUUCUCCCCGAAAGCUAUUUAGGUAGCGCCUCGUGAAUUCAUCUCCGGGGGUAGAGCACUGUUUCGGCUAGGGGGCCAUCCCGGCUUACCAACCCGAUGCAAACUGCGAAUACCGGAGAAUGUUAUCACGGGAGACACACGGCGGGUGCUAACGUCCGUCGUGAAGAGGGAAACAACCCAGACCGCCAGCUAAGGUCCCAAAGUCAUGGUUAAGUGGGAAACGAUGUGGGAAGGCCCAGACAGCCAGGAUGUUGGCUUAGAAGCAGCCAUCAUUUAAAGAAAGCGUAAUAGCUCACUGGUCGAGUCGGCCUGCGCGGAAGAUGUAACGGGGCUAAACCAUGCACCGAAGCUGCGGCAGCGACA